GAGCCAAGCUACCGGAGACUCUUGUCUUGUGACCACACUGUCUGGACCGCGUGGCCUUCUCGGUUGCUGCGGGAGGGGGUAAAGGGACUGGACAGUCAGGCAUUGGCGUUUUCCUGCCUCGGCCCAGAAAUGAAACAAGUCACUCUUGUACGUGUUUUGUUGGCCAGAACUAGUCCUAUGAUUCCACUUAACUUCAAUGAAACUGAAAAGUAUGACUUUCCACACGCCCAGAAGAGGAGGAAGGCCACAUACUGGUGAAUGCUGGCGAUGUCCCCCACUCAUGGACUGCAAGCUCUUUGGGACCAUGCUCAUUCUUGUGAUUCUCUCACUAUCCCUGGUAUCUGGCACACAGUGGACCCCAACUGUUGAAUUGAUCACUGAGUGAAUGAAUGAAUGAAUGAAUGAAUCAAUGAAACAGCAUUUGCAUGCUGAACUUUCAAACUGAACCUAUAGUGUGAUGGGAAAUAUCACACACAUCAAUGGGAAAAAAAUGGCCUCAGGCGUCCAGGUUUCAUCGAACAUCUCAUGCAGUUUGAUUUGUACCGAUUACAACUUUGGAGAACGCAGAGCCAAGGUGAAUGGAUCCUAGAGUUACCCAUGGCGUUGCCACAAGCCCGGAGUCCCUCUACGAUAGCUGCAGGUUACCGGGGAGACGGCUAGAGGUUCAAGUGGAUGGUGCACUCUCCAUGCAAAGGGCGGGACAGCUGACAUAAAACAAGGUGGGCUCUUCUGGGACAGACACCUGGGGUCAAAGGCCACUAGGCUGAGGACUUCUAAUUCCGAGGAAGAAUGUCUGGGGAAGGGAGCAAAAGGGUACUCCAGAAGCAAUGGGAUGCCAGUGCGGUUAUCUCCUCAGAGUCCUAUUCAAAUGUCCGGAGAGCGGUAGCUGCCAUACCUCCCAAAGAGCUUCACUCUUUCCUCUCCGUUUCUUCUUCUUUUUUUAAUGUUUAUUUAUUUUUGAGACAGAGCGGGCAUGAGUGGGGGAGGGGCAGGGAGAGGGGGCACAGAGGAUCCGAAGCGGGCUCUGCGCUGACAGCAGAGAGCCCGAUGUGGGGCUCGAACUCACGGACCGCUGGAUCACGACCUGAGCCGAAGUCGGACGCUCAACUGAGCGCCACCCAGGCGCCCCUUUCCUCCCCUCUUCUUUCACCUCUUGGGAGGACAAAGGUUGCCCUUUAGGCCACUGGUGGUCAAUCAGGGGUGAUUUUACCCCUAAAUGAUAUUUGGAAACGUCUGGAAGCAUUUUUGUGUCACAACUGAAAGGGGUGCUACGGGCAUCUGGGUUAGGCGGUUGCUGAACAUCUUACAAUGCCCAGGACAGGACCCCACGGCAGCCCAGAAUGUGGGUAGUGCCCAGGAUGAGAAGCUCUACUCUACACCCAUCCUACUUACUGGGGUGCCCACCACUGGCCACCAGUGGCCAAGCUGGUGCCGAUGAUGGUGGUGGUGGUGGUGGUGGUGAGGCUGGUGUCAUCCCAGACUUUUAACGCACAUGUAGUUUGCAUACAUUUAAUUCAUCAGAUGCUUCCAACCCAACAAGGUGGGCAGAGGUUAUCAUUCCUAUUCUGGAGGUGAGACCGGGUAGGUGGACAGAGGGCAAUACUUUGUCUGAGGUCGCACGGAGAGCGUCAGCAUCAAGCAGAACUGGUUUUGAAGCCUUGGUGUCUCGUGCCUUCUAAUUGUAUCCUUUUUCCACUGCACUGGUUGGAUUCUGUGAAUAUAAAAAGAAGGAAAGCCUCACCACCGCUCUGAAAGCCUGAAUUUGUCCCAGGCUUUACACAUUAGUGCUGGAGCCAGGAUUCCUCAUUCCCAGACUAUUAUAAACAAACACACCUACAAGACACACAGAGACUUUUAGGGACUGGCGGGGUGUGUGGUCCUCCUAUGACUGACACCAUGGUGAAGCUGGGGAUUUGGCUGCUUAUCUACGUCUCCCGUGUUAUCUUAGGUCAGUUAGAAAGCUACAUGCCAAGAGCGACACCCGCUGACUUCUCUUUUCCUUGUGGUAGAUGCUCCAUAGUAACUAUCGGUAACUACAAGUUUUAUCGACUUUUUCCUCAGAGCUAAGUAUGAAUUAAGUGUAAGCUUCCUUGGUAUUUUCUUUAUCCCCACCCACCUCCCCCCCACUCCCCACCGUUCUAAAAAAGACUCGACUGAGUCCUGGGCAUUUGCGUGGAAUUGAUAUCCACAAGUUUUCACGAUGCCUCACACCCUCAGUUGUGUUUUUCCUGAAAAACACUAAGCAAGAUGCCCCCAGCCCUCCUUGCGCAGGUGCAUCGCCCUCCCUUCCUUUAAGAGUGUCACCGACAAAGGUUGGAAGCCCAACUGCUUAAUAACUGGCUGGAAUAUAAAGUCGGCAUUAUAAAAUUGGCAGAGCUAGAAUCAUCAAGAAUGGCUUCCAAAUAGCUGGCCCAGAUGGCCAAGUUAAACCAUCCAGCGUUUUAGAGCCAGAGCAUAGAGGAGUCUGAGCGGGACACGGUGGUGGGAACAGGCGAAGGCUGGCUCAGUGAUUCUGGGGGAGCCGUGGUGCUCGGGGUGUGGAAUACUCCUCUGAGGAUUGUCUAACAGUGUCUUUUUAAGAAAUUGAUAUAGGGGAGCUUGGGUGGCUCAGUCGGUUGAACGUCCGACUCUUGGUUUCAACUCGGGUCGUGAUCCUGGGGUCAUGAGAUAGAGCCCCAUGUUGGGCUCUGUGCUGACCGUGUGGAGCCUGCUUAGGAUUCUCUCUCUCUCUCUCUCUCUCUCUCUCUCUCUCUC